rnacentral:rRNA from 1 species
AUUCCAAUCGAACUCGGAGAUAGCUGGUUCUCCCCGAAAUAGCUUUAGGGCUAGCCUCGAUUUAGAUUACCGGGGGUAGAGCACUGAAUGGGCUAGGGGGCCACAAAGCUUACCGAACCCUAUCAAACUUCGAAUACCGGAUAAUUGAUGAUCGGGAGUCAGACAGUGUGAGAUAAGUUUCAUUGUCGAAAGGGAAACAGCCCAGAUCUACGACUAAGGUCCCAAAGUUCAAGUUAAGUGGAAAAGGAUGUGCAAUUGCGUAGACAACCAGGAUGUUGGCUUAGUAGCAGCCAUUCAUUCAAAGAGUGCGUAAUAGCUCACUGGUCGAGUGAUUGUGCGCCGAAAAUGUAACGGGGCUAAACUUGACACCGAAGUCUAGGCAGAAGGAAACUUCUGGGUAGGGGAGCAACGUGUACGGGCAGAAGCAGAAGCGGAAGCGACUGUGGACUGUACAGGAGAGAGAAUGCCGGCAUGAGUAGCGAGAGCAAAGUGAGAAUCUUUGCCGUCGAAAGCCUAAGGUUUCCUGAGGAAGGCUCGUCCUCUCAGGGUAAGUCGGGACCUAAGCCGAGGACAAUAGUCGUAGGCGAUGGACAAUCGGUUAAUAUUCCGAUACCGCCGAGCAACCGGAUGCAGUGACACAGAAGGAUAGGCAGAGCGUGGCGAUGGUAGACCACGUCCAAGCAGUGAGGCUGUUGUGUAGUGAAGUACGCACAACGUAAGGCUGGGCUGUGAUGGGGAACGAUUACGAUCGGUAAGCUGCUGAAUUCACGCUGGCGAGAAAAGCUGCUACGAAGCGAAGGCGCCCGUACCGCAAACCGACACAGGUAGGCGAGGAGAGAAUCCUAAGACGAGCGGGAGAACCCUUGUUAAGGAACUCGGCAAAAUGACUCCGUAACUUAGGGAGAAGGAGUGCCCAGGAAUGGGCCGCAGAGAAUAGACCCAAGCGACUGUUUACCAAAAACACAGGUCUGUGCGAAGUAGAGAUACGACGUAUACGGGCUGACGCCUGCCCAGUGCCGGAAGGUUAAGGGGAAGUGUUAGGGCAACCGAAGCACGGAACUUAAGCCCCGGUGAACGGCGGCCGUAACUAUAACGGUCCUAAGGUAGCGAAAUUCCUUGUCGGGUAAGUUCCGACCCGCACGAAUGGUGUAACGAUUUGGGUACUGUCUCAACAAGGGACCCGGCGAAAUUGUAGUAUGUGUGAAGAUGCACAUUACCCGCGAUAGGACGGAAAGACCCCGUAGAGCUUUACUGUAGUUUAACAUUGGAUUCCGGUAACAUAUGCACAGGAUAGGUGGGAGGCGGAGAAGCAGUGAUUUCGGUUGCUGCAGAGCCGACGUUGGGAUACCACUCUUGUGUUACUGGGGUUCUAACCUGUGGCCGUGAUCCGGCACAGGAACAGUGUUAGAUGGGCAGUUUGACUGGGGCGGUCGCCUCCAAAAGAGUAACGGAGGCGUCCAAAGGUUCCCUCAGAAUGGUUGGAAACCAUUCGAAGAGUACAAAGGCAGAAGGGAGCCUGACUGCGAGACCGACAGGUCGAGCAGGGACGAAAGUCGGGCUUAGUGAUCCGGCGGUAUAGAGUGGAAUUGCCGUCGCUCAACGGAUAAAAGCUACCUCGGGGAUAACAGGCUUAUCUCCCCCAAGAGUCCACAUCGACGGGGAGGUUUGGCACCUCGAUGUCGGCUCA